UUCAAACUCAAAUUUCUCCUUAGAUUUGUUGGGGUUGAGACACAUCUCAUUUAAAAGUCACCGUCAGAGCUGCAAUCAAAAAGCUUGUGAUUACCAGUUAUUACUCAACAGUUAAAACUAAAUUCAGUGAAACAAUUUGCCUUGAGGACUUUCUGUGUGUACUAAGAACAAAUGUGUAUGAAUGACAGCUGGACAUACCUCAAUCUAGCAUGAAGCACCCAGGACUUCACUGCUCCCUUCGGGAGCACCAUCUGCUCAGGUGCUUCCCUGUUGACUCCUCAUGAUGAGAACGUUGCCCCUGGAUUCUACUUCAGGACCACAUAAGGCAAAUAUUUUCUCCCUUCUUGACAGCCAGGGCAUGGGAUGCUUCAUGUAAGAUCAGCCAAAUCUAUACCACACUCUGGUUUUGAAACUUGAGGGAGCAACACAAAGUUGCAAGGGCAGAUGAGGUAUUAUUCAUGGCAACAGCGAUGUACCCAUUGAGUAUUCAGUACUGAAGAAGCAAUUGUCCAGUACUCAAUGCCAGCAGCAGGGUGUGACAACUCCAUCCCUAGAACUUACCACCCCUUGGUCCUUUGGAUUUUACAAGCUAAAGUCCUCAGGUCUUCCUCCUGGUCUCUAUGCUCCCCAGCGUUCUUCCUACAAAGGCCAUUUCUUUUCAACGUAACCUAAUUGGUUUCCUUUGCUAGCCGGUUAUAGUUGUAUUGUUAUUAUGAAUUAUUUUUUAAUCCUUUUGCCAUUGAACUACGAAUUAGGAAGUGAGUCUUGUUCAACAUCCAUAGAGUCUAAUACUGUGCUUUCAAUAUGAUGAUAGGUGAUUAUUGAUGGAAUUGAUUAAUUCAAUGACUUAGAGAUUAUUAAAAAUAAUGUUUUAUAUACUGACAAUUAGAAAGCUUCAACAUAACAAGGAGCUUCCAAAACUUAAGCUCUGAGUUUGUGCAGAUUUCUUGGUUAAAUUGAUUUGCUCGUAUUCCCAAUCUAUAAUCAAAGAAGAGAUUGAAUAAUUUAACAUUAUUAAAGAAGCUAAUAUUGAGAAGACAUUGAUUAUUUCUUAAAAUAAAACAGCAAAAAAACUUCUUCCUGAAAAUAUACUUGAUAAUAAAAUGAGUGUAAAAUCAUUCAGAAGUCACUUAUUCCUUUUAAAAUGCUAAAUUUUAUAUUUUAGAUGACUCUAGUUUUUAAUGACUGCUACUAUAUACCCUAUUUACUUCAUUUCUCUUCUACCUUAGAAGAAAGAAAAGAUAAUUCGUGUUAGAUAAUUUUUCACUCAGGUAAACAACAAGAAAAAUGUACUCCUAAGGAAGUGUUCUUAAAAACAUGAUUAUUUUCUGCUUCACACCUGACAACACAAUGAAACACCUUACUGACAUUUUAUCGUCCCAGAAACCAUGUUUCACUGUGGUAAUUCAAAAUCUAGACUGUUGUAGAAAUAGAUCAAAAACUUUCCACAAAAUUCAAUUAUUUAAAUAAUGUAUUUUACAUAGCCCUAAUCAUCUUCAACUAGCAUACUAUUGGGAAAUGAAAAGCAAACAUGAAAUC
rnacentral:lncRNA from 1 species